rnacentral:lncRNA from 1 species
GGAACAUCAUGUUUCCGUUAACCAAGAUGUAUCCAGUCACAUCAUCACCGAACACUGAUUAGACCAUCAUGGUUCCAUCAAACACAGGAACCAAGGUCUGUUUACCCGCACCAUGAGGCCAGUCUCAGACUGGAAACCCUCACAUAUAUCAUCAGACUGCACAAGACUCAAAACUCCCAGCUAGAAACAUUUAGAGUUACCUUGCAUUGCUGGGUUGCAAAGAACCACAGCACAUAAAAACCGGAUCAUGCAAGAUCCACACACGAAGCCAGUCUCAAGACUGGAAACCUUCGCAUAUAUCAUCAGACUCCAAACAUAACCAGAAACAGCUAGGCUAACUACACUAGAUCAUUCAAACAGUAACCAGAAGUUGCGACAGGUGUAUCCCAGAGACAUUGUGAUCGAAGACACUCAGCUUUACUGCGAAGGCCCACUUGUACUCGCUGUAUUCUCUUCAGAUAACCUUUUCACCAUUCUGAAAAGAUUGAAUGUGAAUUAACAGUUACAGAACAUAAACACAAACUGAUAUGUAGUCAAAAAACUACAUAAACAUUGACUGAUAUGUAGUCACAAAACUACAUAAACAUUAACUGAUAUGUAGUCACAAAACUACAUAAACAUUAACUGAUAUGUAGUCACAAAAGUAUCUUACGUGUGGAGUCUGAUGAAUUCCUGGUUGUCCGGUUCCAGAGCAAGACAAGCCUUUAUAGCUAAAAGAGCCUUAUCAUAUUGCUGCAAGGAAUACAAACGACCAAUCAUCAAAACUAAUGUAUCCGAUUUAGAGCAUUACACAUGUAAGUUCAAAAUUGACGGUUUGGGAAUAAUGUAUGUCGACGGCGUCUAUAUGGGAAAUACUGCAUAUAAAAUAAAUAAAUCCAGAAGCAUAAAUGGUUACUGCCCAGCAGCAACUGCCUUGGCAAUGCCGCCUCAGUAACAGUAAAUCAAUUCAACAGCACAAUUUUAUGUAAAUGUAAGCAUACUAGCAAUAAACUAAUCCCAAAUCACAAGGAUAUACAGCUUUUAUAAACUAUUCCCAAUGCAAAUCUGGUCAUCCAACAGAAGUCCAAAACUACUACACAAACUGGGCAUCCAGCGUUCCUGCGAAGUGCCUAGUUAGCAUAUUAACAAGCUACUUAUUUUACCAUGAUACUGUUAAGAAAAUAAGAUACAGCUUAUUGUGUAAUCGGUAUAACAAAAUACUGCAUGACCAACCUCUUUUGAGAAAUAAGCACUCAUGUACAUAGAAAUACAUUCCACUGUUAU